rnacentral:antisense_RNA from 17 species
AAUUAUGGUGAGCUGGGCGAGGCAGCUUUAUGCUGGUCGCUUCCUUUGGUGCGAUAGGUCCAACCUUGCUCAGUUCACCACCCAA